rnacentral:rRNA from 1 species
CCUACGGGAGGCAGCAGUGAGGAAUAUUGGUCAAUGCACGCAAGUCUGAACCAGCCAAGCAGCGUGCAGGAUGACGGCCCUCCGGGUUGUAAACUGCUUUUAGUUGGGAAUAAAAGGCGGCUCGUGAGCCUCGUAUUGUAUGUACCAUCAGAAAAAGGACCGGCUAAUUCCGUGCCAGCAGCCGCGGUAAUACGGAGGGUGCGGGCGUCAUCCGGAUUUAUUGGGGUUAAAGGGAGCGUAGGCCGGCUUUUAAGUCAGCUGUGAAAGUCCGGGGCUCAACCGUGGAAUUGCAGUUGAAACUGGAGGCCUAGAGUGCAAGCAGGGAUGCCGGAAUUCAUGGUGUAGCGGUGAAAUGCUUAGAUAUCAUGAAUAACUCCGAUCGCGAAGGCAGGUGUCCGGGGUGCAACUGACGCUGAGGCUCGAAAGUGCGGGUAUCAAACAGGAUUAGAUACCCUAGUAGUC